rnacentral:tRNA from 1 species
GCCCGAGUGGCGAAAUCGGUAGACGCACUAGCUUCAGAUGCUAGCAACUCUUUUAGUUAUGGAAGUUCGAAUCUUCUCUCGGGCA